rnacentral:rRNA from 1 species
AGGAUGAACGCUGGCGGCGUGCUUAACACAUGCAAGUCGAACGGAGAAAGGGUAGCUUGCUAUCUUUCUUAGUGGCGGACGGGUGAGUAACGCGUGGGUAACCUGCCCUUUGCAGGGGGAUAACAGUGAGAAAUCACUGCUAAUACCGCAUACCAACUUCUUUCGCAUGAAAGAAGUUUGAAAGAUUUAUCGGCAAAGGAUGGACCCGCGUUGGAUUAGCUAGUUGGUGAGAUAACAGCCCACCAAGGCAACGAUCCAUAGCCGGCCUGAGAGGGUGAACGGCCACACUGGGACUGAGACACGGCCCAGACUCCUACGGGAGGCAGCAGUGGGGAAUAUUGCACAAUGGGCGAAAGCCUGAUGCAGCGACGCCGCGUGAAGGAUGAAGGUCUUCGGAUUGUAAACUUCUAUCAACAGGGAAGAAAGGGCCUAUGGCCUAUGACGGUACCUGACUAAGAAGCCCCGGCUAACUACGUG